ACGAAGAUUUAAAAAACAAGAAGAACAAAAAUACGCAGUCUACGAAGAUAUUCAGGAUGGAGGAUUGAUACCUACAAAUCGUGGGAACAUUUCUGGCAGACCAUCAACUACAAUCAACAUGGCGGAUCUCCCAGGUGAAUCAAACCAAAAUGAUGCCACAUGUUACACCAUCCCUGAUAUUCCACCAAUGGGGAACAGAACUGAUACAUCUCUAACUAAUGAG